CAAAACAUAGCUCUCAGGCCCCCCAUUGAGAGUGUUUCCUGCCCAGUGAUUUAUUUUAACGGCCGCGGUAUCCUGACCGUGCAAAGGUAGCAUAAUAAUUUGCCUCUUAAUUAGUGGCUAGUAUGAAUGGAAGCACGUGGUUUCAACUUUUACAGUUUUACCCCUAAAACCUAUCCUUUAGGUGAAGAGACCUAAAUCCAAAUAAAGGACAAGAAGACCCUGUCGAGCUUUAUAAGGGCUUUUCACAUAUGAAAUUUACACUUAUUUGGUUGGGGCGACCUGAGAACAUAAUAAACUUCUCUCAAUCCCUAGAUUUAAGUAUCAUAAUAACGACCCCCCCAUGGUCUCUAACUAAGCUACCGCAGGGAUAACAGGCUAAUCCUCCUUAAGAGCCCAAAUUGACAGGAGGGUUUGGCACCUCGAUGUUGGCUUAAGAUACCCAUUUAUCGCAAAAGAUAAAAAAGGUAGGCUUGUUCAGCCUUUAAAAUCUUACGUGAUCUGAGUUCAGACCGG
rnacentral:rRNA from 1 species